rnacentral:rRNA from 1 species
GAUGAACGCUGGCGGCGUGCUUAAUACAUGCAAGUCGAACGGAGACUGUAGCAAUACUGUCUUAGUGGCGAACGGGUGAGUAACGCGUUGGUGACCUGCCCCGAAGAGGGGGAUAACAGUCCGAAAGGAUUGCUAAUACCCCAUGUGGUCGUUUGGAUUAGAUGCCUUACGACUAAACGGAUUUAUUCGCGUUCGGGAGGGGCCUGCGUCCCAUCAGCUAGUUGGUAGGGUAAUAGCCUACCAAGGCGAUGACGGGUAGGGACCUGAGAGGGUGGCCCCCCACAAUGGAACUGAAACACGGUCCAUACACCUACGGGUGGCAGCAGUAGGGAAUAUUAGUAAUCUGGGAAACCGGGAACCAGCAACGCCGCGUGCGCGAUGAAGGCCUUCGGGUUGUAAAGCGCUUUUUAAAGGGAUGAGGAAGGACAGUACCUUUAGAAUAAGCCUCGGCUAACUACGUG